rnacentral:lncRNA from 1 species
UAGUAGUGUAACCAAAAAAAUAUAUCAUUUAAUUUUUAAAUAAAGAAUACAAUAAAAAGAAAGACAUCGUACAUCUUAAAGAAAUAAAAACAUAAAUUGCAGUUGUGAUUCAAAACAUAUUUUUUGAAUUAGUUUUUUCAUCGGUCAUCUAUGUCAAUCGAGGAAACAAAUGGUAUUUAAAAAAAAAGUGACGUAUUCAAAAUAUGUCUCAAUUAUUUAUUGAUUGAGGUGAAAGCUUUGUCCUAUAAUAUAUUAUUUAUAGGAGUGUAAUGACCUUUCUUUUCUUUUCCUUGUCUAAAUUAUUACACGAAAAGGCAAGAAAAUCCAACUACUCAAUGUAAAAGGAGUUUUAAAUAAUGUCUUAAUCGAGCUAGUGGACCUUCCCUUGAAAUAACGUGGUAACUACUCUAGUGGUUCCAAAUUAACAUGAUCAACUUUUUAUUUGUUCAAAGACAAUAUAUACUGCUAUUGAAAAGAACUAAGAUUAAUAGAUUUUCAGAUUUCACAUGUAUGAUAAAACAUAAAGUCAUGGAUAGGGACACAAGUUAAUAAUUGAAUCUUCAAUGCUUCGCUUUUAUGCAAAGGUACAUGAACAAUAAGAUAUUUGAGAAAUUGAUAUGUUGAUGAAUAAUACAAUUAGUGGAUGAGAAUGUCUUAUUUUUAACAUCAUAUACAUAUUCAUUAUUAUUUUUUUGUUGUUCUUGUAUAUGAUGUUAUCUAACUGAAAUUCGUGUAUUAUUUUUCAUAUAAAUAGAUGAAAAAGGGUGCAACGAUGAUGUUGACGCUAAUAUAACUGAAUAAAGCAUUGAUUUAGUUUAUGCUAAAUUAAUGAAAUUAGUGUUAAAGUCAUUACCGACACUAAAUUAAUGAAAAAAGAGACAAAUAAAAAAUGCAGUUUACAAAGACUUUUAUAAAUAAAAAACAAAUUCACUUGCAAAUUCAAAAUCUGUCUUAUAAUUACACAUUAAGGAAAAGAAACAUUCUAAACAAAUAUGAAGGAAAAGAAACAUCCUAAUCAAAAGUAAACGAGAAAAGAAUCUGAAGAAGAGGUUGAAGAAGAACCAAAACGAAAAUUCCUACUUCUGAGAUCUUCAAAACUCAUACCAUUUCGUGACAGAAAGUGCGCCAUCGCUCUUGUCAGCACAGCCGUGUACUCUUUUAAUAUCUCUGUCAUAAUCGCCACCAUUAUCAUCUUUCUACCUUACAACUUCUUCUUCUUAUUCUUAUUAUUUUCAAGACAUCAACAACUUUCUUAUAUAUCGAUAAAAGAGAGUGUAAAGGGUAUUAUGGUAAGGGUCCUAUAAAUAAUAGGACUCUUUUUGUAUCUCAUGAGUUUCCUAGUUACUAGUUAUUAACAAUUUGUGACACCACAAAAACAUAAUAAUAUAACAGGUUGACAAAAAGGAAUAAAAUUCUGGAACUUUCUGGUGUGUACAGUGGUGGGCUUUUUAGGAAAAAAUGAAGGACGGUUUUUGUUUUUGUAUGACAUUAAUAUAGUGUGGUCUAAUCAUAUGUCUUUUGAAUAGAUUGGGAGGAUUUGGUUAAAUUGAGUAAUUUGUUUUUGAAGUGUGAUCUUAUCGGCUCAUGUUUUCUGUCCUACACAUGGGGUUGGCAGAAUUGAAAUGGUGACAUAGCUAAUUCAAGAUUAUUGACUUAUUUGUGGUGCUAGAAAUUAGUUGAUCUAAAAGAGUACUUCCCCCUAAAAGGAAUGUAAAUCAAAAUUUGUCUGCUGCAACUAUAGAUAGAGCAUUUUUUAAAUCAAAAAGUGAAUUUGUUCAAAGUGUCCUCAGGUCAAAUAAUUAGACUCUACUAUAUAUUGUUUGCUUUGAGUGUUAAAAUGUGGGAUGAGUUUUUCUUAAACAACAUUUUAUUGUAUUGUUGAGUGACAAUCGUUGUAUAUAAAUUACUAUUGCCCUUAAUUUUUAAGUAAUAUGAGAUUCUUUAGUGUAUCGAAAUAAUUGCCCUCAAUCAAGACUAAAGUGUUAAAGAAGCGAAAUCUCGGAUAUGGUUAGUGGUUCAACCCUUUUAUCAUCGGUUAAUUCUCCGAUCAAUCUGGAGUCUACUUACCACAGCAUCAACGAGCUAUUAUCCAUGGGAACAUGUAGUGAUAGUCUCUUGAAAUCACUAUUACAAAUCAUAUUCUUUAUCAUAAAACUUUCAUUUCAAUCUAUCAAUAACUGAUGUAUAUGUCCUUGAAGUACAAUUAUUUUUUAAAAAUAUAUAUAUAACCUAUAUCCCCGAUUAUCACCGAAAUCGAGAGGAUAUAAUUACGAGCGAGCUCGUUUCGAGUUCCCGUUAUUGUAUUUUAUGUUUUACUUGAUUUGAUCCUUUAACUCUCCAAACAGCUUCACAUUAGAGUUUUUGUUUUAGGUUUAUUAGUCAAAAUCAGAAUCAGGAUCCAAUUGACAUAGAUGUGAUGCUGAUAUCAAUAAAACAUUAUAAAUAAAAAAGGGAACUAGAUUCUUU